ACUGUUCCAGGUGCUGAGGAAACUUGACGAUAAGCAAAACCAAUUUCCUGCUGUCAUCAUGCUUAUUGAGAAGUAGGAGAAACAAGCAUUAACCAAAUAAAUGUGAAAUUACUGUGAUGAACUGUAGCUCACAGAUGUUAAGGGAUUAGACAAAGGACAUUCAACAAAAAGUGCCCUAAAGAAUGGACAUUCCAGGCCGGGCGCUGUGACUCACACCUGUAAUCUCAGCGCUUUGGGAGGCCGAGGCAGGCGGAUCACCUGAGGUCAGGAGUUCAAAACCAGCCUGGCCAACGUGGCGAAACCCCAUCUCUAGUAAAAGUACGAAAAUUAGCUAGGUGUGGUGGUGGGCACCUGUAAUCCCAGCUACUCAGGAGGCUGAGGAAGGAGAAUCACUUGAACCCGGGAGGUGGAGGUUGCAGU